UAAUAAUAAAUUAUCGUCUUGUUAUUACAUCUUGAAGUAAGCAAACAGAAGCGUCGAUAGAAAGUGAGGGUGACGGAAAAGUUUCACGGGAUUUAACUGAUAAGAGAGCGCCAGAGGACACUUCAAAGAGAGAAAACUACGAGGCAAAUACACUGCCACAAUGCAGAAAGUCGAAGGCCAGUGGUGACACAUCAAUGGUGGAUGGAUCAUUUGGUCCGAUACAUAAUACAGUUGAGACUAGCAAGCACAGUUCAAAUCAGGUCAAACCAAUUGAGACAGAGGAAAGAUAUCAUGAUUUUUAUCAGCUACGACCAAGGGAGCAUAUGAAAUAUGAUCGUAAGACUUCCUCUGCACGUUCUGCAUACAUGCAAUGUUAUGAUCAUUUCUUUCUCUUCUUGUUUUCUUUACUGAUAGUUUGUUUUAUUUGUGUGCUGCUGCGGAAACUUUAUUUGAUUUUCUGAUAUUGGUAUCUGCAUGUUCUUUAUUUAGACAAUGAACCUUCAACAUUACCUGUAUUAUAUAUACUUCACUUUGUUAUUGAUCAAAGCUAUGAUAUUUAGCCCUUGUGUGGGCACUAUUCUUACCGGAUUUUAAGAAUAAUUUGGAACCACUGGAGCAAUACAUGGGUCCCUAUGCAGCCAUCAUUAUGAACUCAACAUCAAACAAAUUCCCUUAAACGCUCAUCUUUCAAAUACAAUGAAAUCAAUCUCAAAAGGGUACAAAGGUUAUUUUGCUUGGUUGGUCAAUAAAUGCAGUUGCCUUUUUACUGUAUCACAGGCAAAAUUGAGUGGAGAUCUG
rnacentral:lncRNA from 1 species